rnacentral:rRNA from 1 species
CCUACGGGUGGCAGCAGUAGGGAAUCUUUCACAAUGGGCGAAAGCCUGAUGGAGCAACGCCGCGUGCAGGAUGAAGGCCUUCGGGUUGUAAACUGCUUUUAUAAGCGAGCAAUAUGAUGGUAACUUAUGAAUAAGGAUCGGCUAACUCCGUGCCAGCAGCCGCGGUCAUACGUAGGAUCCGAGCAUUAUCCGGAGUGACUGGGUGUAAAGAGUUGCGUAGGUGGCAUAAUAAGUAGCGAGUGAAAUCUGGUGGCUCAACCAUUCAGACUAUUAGCGAAACUGUUAAGCUCGAGACCGUUAGAGGUAACUGGAAUUUCUAGUGUAGGGGUGAAAUCCGUAGAUAUUAGAAGGAACACCAAUAGCGAAGGCAGGUUGCUGGGACGGUUCUGACACUAAGGCACGAAAGCGUAGGGAGCAAACGGGAUUAGAUACCCUUGUAGUC